CGAUGCUUCAACACUAAGAGGAGGCGAUGCCUUUGUUAGGAUCUUUAAAAAGUCACACUGGUGCUCGCCAGCUGCGCCAGCUGUUGUCACUUUCAGACCACAAACUUAUUCCAUCAGACAGGCGCGUGCUCCACGCUCCUGCCCCACGCUGGGGGCGUGUCCCCGCCAUUGCUGCAGCUGAAUGGAUCUGGAAACAGCCUGGGAAAACAGACAUCCCCACCCUCGCCACUGCGCCCCCACUCUGCCGCUAAGUGCAUGCUGGGACCUGCCUGAUGGCCCCACUCUGCGGUGUAACUGGAAUUUGUGAAGAAGUGCUGCCUUCAAGUGCUCCACCUGCAGCUGUGUCCGACUUAUCAGCUCGCGAAAAGGACUUCCCAAAACACCAAGAUAUUCAACCUACAUCGAUAUUAAACAGAGGAAAAAUGCUAAGAUGAGAAGAUGGAACCAGAGGAUUUAUUGAAUAUGUUAUUUUAACAACAUGGGACCACAUGAUACAGUAAGUUGAUAUUUAAUGAUGGCACCAUAGAGCUUUUCUGUGAUGCAGUGCAAGAAAGAGAAGGAACACGGACAUGUAAUCAUUAAGUGUGCUUCAUGGCAAUAAAAGAUCAAUUAAGCAAAAGUAAAAACAAUGAAAUCACUAUUAAAACAGGACAGUGGAUCAAGAAUAAAUACAUUAUAUACAGCGUUGCAAAUAAUAAUAGUUUUUCAUUAACAAUUGAUCAGAUGAUUACUAAUAUUUUGUAAUUAAAAUUAUAAACUUGCUGAUUGAUUAUCAGAAGUGGUUCAGGACUGUUAUGGUGCUCUGUACCUGGUGAGGUCUCAGUGGAAGCAGCAGAGCCCCACUCACUGCUGGAUGCAGAUACAGCUCUGAGCACUGAGCCAACACACAAUCUUUCAUCACAUUUCCCACAAUCCAACUGUACAUGGUGCUGGCACACUCUUUCAUAUACACACACACACACACACACACACACACACAUUAUAUAAAUGAAUGUGUACAUGCUUUGCUUACAUAAACGGCCCUGCACUGUGGCACCGCCAUCAUCACAGAAACAUUAAGCUCGGUAUGUAAAUACAGUUUCAUAUUAACAGCAGCAGAGAACAACUUUUUUCUCUCUCUCACACACUCUCUCACACACACACACACACACACACACACACACACACACACACACACACACACACACACACACACACACACACACACACACACACACACACACACACACACACUUAAUGCCCUUCUCUGACUCACUGCACUACUCCAGCCGUAAAAUGUCAUGACCAUUUAUGUGCACAAAGUCCAAACUCUCUCCUGCAGUGGUUCAGUGGAGCCCAUUAGAGCUCACAAAGAGGCUGCACUUCUAUUCAAAGAGUCUCUAAUCUGCACUUAAAAUGCAGGAAAAACUUCAACAUUGUGUCUUAUUCAUUAAGAAAAGCUGUAUAAAAUGUUUUUAACAAGACAUAUGGGAGGUUUUCACUUAAAUAAUCUGUUCUUGCUUGAGCUUUUACACUUGUGGGAACUUAAAUGUUGCAUUUUUAGCAAAUUUGAAACAAAAAACAAAUAUAAAUAUCUGGAAAAAUCAUGAAAAUCUCGACUUUUACAUAUUUAAGUUCAUUUUCAAAAGAUAUGAGGUGGUGAGACAAGCACUAUUUUCAUCCUUGUGGUUAAAGGGAAUAUAUGUCAGUCACUUAAAGUGCACAUGAAAAUCUGAGUGUUUACCCAAAAUCUUGCCACUAGGGACUUCCUGUCAGGAUAUAAAAAUCCGCAGUGCCUGUUUAUUCUUGACUGGGUCUCCAACUUUACCUUAUGUUUUUAUCUGUUGUCUAUACCAUGUUGUGG